rnacentral:rRNA from 1 species
ACCGGCAGCUCAAGUGGUGGCCAUUUUUAUUGGGCCUAAAGCGUUCGUAGCCGGUUUGAUAAGUCUCUGGUGAAAUCCCGCAGCUUAACCGUGGGACUUGCUGGAGAUACUAUUAGGCUUGAGGUCGGGAGAGGUUAGGGGUACUCCCAGGGUACGGGUAAAAUCCUAGAAGCCUGGGAGGAACACCUGUGGCGAAGGCGCCUAACUGGAUCGAACCUCACUGUGAGUAACGAAACUCAUGUGCGCGGACCG